UUUCCGUAGGUGAACCUGCGGAAGGAUCAUUACCGAAUUGUCAACAAGAGUUGUUGCUGGUCCCUGUAUGGGGGCAUGUGCACGCUCUGUUCACACAUCCACUCACACCUGUGCACCCUCUGUAGUUCUAUGGCCUGGGUGGGCUCUGUCCCCCUGCUGUGGUUCUGCGUCUUUACACACACACUACAACAAAGUCUCAUGGAAUGUAUGUCGCGUUUAACGCAAUGAAAUACAACUUUCAGCAACGGAUCUCUUGGCUCUC
rnacentral:misc_RNA from 1 species